AAAGGGGGGAAACCGCACCAAGGGAUCCCAAGGGCCUAUCCUUUUGUAUAGGCUGUUUAUGUGCCUACAAUUCACGUAGAGUAAGAGCUGGGUAAGACCGGUGCCAGCCGCCGCGGUAAUACCGGCAGCUCGAGUGGUGGUCGUUAUUAUUGGGCCUAAAGCGUCCGUAGCCGGUUGAGUAAAUCCCUGGGUAAAUCGUAUCGCUUAACGAUACGAAUUCCGGGGACACUGCUCGACUUGGGACCGGGAGAGGUUGGAGGUACUCCAGGGGUAGGGGUGAAAUCCUGUAAUCCUUGGGGGACCACCUGUGGCGAAGGCGUCCAACUAGAACGGCUCCGACGGUAAGGGACGAAGCCCUGGGGCGCGAACCGGAUUAGAUACCCGGGUAGUCCAGGGUGUAAACGCUGCGGGCUUGGUGUUGGAGGUUCUACGAGUUCUUCCAGUGCCGGAGAGAAGUUUGUUAAGCCCGCCGCCUGGGAAGUACGGUCGCAAGACUGAAACUUAAAGGAAUUGGCGGGGG
rnacentral:rRNA from 1 species